AAGGCUGUACUUUUUACAGGAUCAUUUCUGUAGUUAGUCUCUACAUUUAAAUUCUUUUUGGAAAUCGACCCGCGAUGAUGAGGUAUAUGCGUUUUAUCUGACAGCGUGAGGUUUAUGAACUUCAUUUCUAAUAUUGUGUUGUGGCAUAUUAGAAACGAUGUUUCUUCGAAAAUCGCUCGCUUUACAACGGAUAAAACGACUUCUGAGUGGU